UCCUUCAUUACCCAUCACCACUUCACUCACAGCUCCCUACAUUGCACCUUUCUCAUCGUAUAUUCCACCGUUUCUGAAUCUCCAUAAUUAUCUUCAACAUUUUCUCGCAACUGUAGCAGAGAGAGAUAAUAAUUUCACUCAAUGUGUCCAUCAGGGCUAUCACAGUGGCGGUCAGUCUGGCUGUGGUGUCGUGAGUGGCAGGUGUCCGGAACCUUGCGUGUUACUUAUUAAUUGGCUUUUUCCUGUGGUGGCCAAAACUUUCUGUAACAUUUCGACUGCAGCGAGAAGCUACUGCGUGGUGGCACAGUUUCAAAUCCUUGAAUAACAACAAACACACGCAUGUACAGAAAAGAAAGAAGGAAGAAGAAAAGGAAGAAGAAGAAGAA